CAAUAGCGUAUAUUAAAGUUGUUGCAGUUAAAAAGCUCGUAGUUGGAUUUCUGGUGGGAACGUUUGGCCGGCCGUAACGGUUUGUGCUGAAAUGUUUUUCGCCAUCCUUGACGAAUACUGGUUCGCCAUUAAGUUGUGUGAGCUUGGAGUCGUCAUCGUUUACUGUGAAAAAAUUAGAGUGUUCAAAGCAGGCUUAUGCCGUUGAAUACAUUAGCAUGGAAUAAUAAGAUAGGACCCUGGUACUAUUUUGUUGGUUUGCGUACCUAGGUAAUGAUUAAUAGGGACAGUUGGGGGUAUUUGUAUUCCAUUGUCAGAGGUGAAAUUCUUGGAUUUAUGGAAGACAAACUACUGCGAAANCANNNACCAAGGAUGUUUUCAUNAA
rnacentral:rRNA from 1 species